rnacentral:rRNA from 1 species
GAUCCUGGCUCAGAAUCAACGCUGGCGGCGUGCCUAACACAUGCAAGUCGAACGAGAAAGUGGAGCAAUCCAUGAGUAAAGUGGCGACCGGGUGAGUAACACGUGACUAACCUACCUUCGAGUGGGGGAUAACCUCGGGAAACCGGGGCUAAUACCGCAUAAUGCCUUUGGGUUAAAGGAGCAAUUCGCUUGAAGAGGGGGUCGCGGCCGAUUAGGUAGUUGGCGGGGUAACGGCCCACCAAGCCUGUGAUCGGUAGCCGGCCUGAGAGGGCGCACGGCCACACUGGAACUGAAACACGGUCCAGACUCCUACGGGAGGCA